rnacentral:lncRNA from 1 species
GAGCGCAGUAACCAGCUGCAGGUCGUUUUGAUCGAGACAUUGGAGAGAGGAGGGAGAUAGACUUCUGUUGAGCCUGAAGAAUCAAGGAGAGCCCUCGUGCUUUGCGUGACAUUUAGAACGAGUUAGAAAAAACAUCAAAGGUUUCUAAAAGAUAGAACAGCCCUCUCAACCCAUCCCUGUAGCCACAGGACCAUGUGCCAGUGAUGACUAGCUGUUGUAUCCCAGAGGCCCACCUUGGCAGUUAGAGGA